rnacentral:tRNA from 1 species
AGGGGUAUAGUUAAGUGGUAUAACAAAGGUCUCCAAAACCUUAAUCGUGGGUUCGAUACCCUCUACCCCUGCCA